rnacentral:Y_RNA from 1 species
GGCUGGUCCGAGUGCAGUGGUGUUUAUAACUAAUUGAUCACAACCAGUUACAGAUUUCUUUGUUCCUUCUCCACUCCCACUGCUUCACUUGACUAGCCUUUA